rnacentral:snoRNA from 1 species
ACUCCUGUUCUUGGCAGGCCCCGGCUGCCCCGUGCCCGGGUCUGUGAUGUCCGGAGGUAGAGCAGCGACUCUUUCACAGGC